CCUACGGGAGGCAGCAGUAGGGAAUAUUGGUCAAUGGGGGCAACCCUGAAGCAGCCAAGCCGCGUGGGGGAUGAAGGUUUUCGGAUUUUUAACUCCUUUUGUUAGAGUAGAUAACGUCGGUACCUAAAGAAUAAUCACCGGUUAACUCCGUUACAGCAUCCGCGGUAAUACGGAGGGUGCAAGCGUUACUCGGGAUCACUGGGCGUAAAGAGCGCGUAGGCGGGAUAGCAAGUCAGAUGGUAAAUCCUAGGGCUUAACCAUAGAACUGCAUUUGAAACUGGUAUUCUAGAGUAUGGGAGAGGUAGGUGGAAUUCUUGGUGUAGGGGUAAAAUCCGUAGAGAUCAAGAGGAAUACUCAUUGCGAAGGCGACCUGCCAGAACAUAACUGACGCUGAUGCGCGAAAGCGUGGGGAGCAAACAGGAUUAGAUACCCGGGUAGUC
rnacentral:rRNA from 1 species